rnacentral:rRNA from 1 species
UACGUAGGGUGCGAGCGUUAAUCGGAAUUACUGGGCGUAAAGCGUGCGCAGGCGGUUCGUUGUGUCGGUGGUGAAAGCCCCGGGCUUAACCUGGGAAUGGCCAUGGAAACUGGCGAACUGGAGUGUGGCAGAGGGGGGUGGAAUUCCGCGUGUAGCAGUGAAAUGCGUAGAGAUGCGGAGGAACACCGAUGGCGAAGGCAGCCCCCUGGGUCAAGACUGACGCUCAUGCACGAAAGCGUGGGGAGCAAACAGG